rnacentral:rRNA from 1 species
UACGGAGGGGGGCUAGCGUUGUUCGGAAUUACUGGGCGUAAAGCGCACGUAGGCGGCUUUGUAAGUUAGAGGUGAAAGCCCAGGGCUUAACCCUGGAAUUGCCUUUAAGACUGCAUCGCUAGAAUCGUGGAGAGGUAAGUGGAAUUCCGAGUGUAGAGGUGAAAUUCGUAGAUAUUCGGAAGAACACCAGUGGCGAAGGCGACUCACUGGACACGUAUUGACGCUGAGGUGCGAAAGCGUGGGGAGCAAACAGG